UUGGGUUAUGGGGAUAUGUACCCACAGACAUGGUCAGGGAUGUUAGUAGGGGCUCUGUGUGCUCUGGCUGGGGUGCUGACGAUAGCCAUGCCUGUGCCUGUCAUUGUCAACAAU
rfam:Monodelphis domestica chromosome 8, whole genome shotgun sequence.